rnacentral:rRNA from 1 species
AUCGAACGCUGGCGGCAGGCCUAACACAUGCAAGUCGAGCGAGCGGCGGACGGGUGAGUAAUGUAUGGGGACUGCCUGAUAGAGGGGGAUAACUACUGGAAACGGUGGCUAAUACCGCAUACUAUCGGAUAACCCAUAGGGGAUUAGCUAGUAGGUGGGGUAAAGGCUCACCUAGGCGACGAUCUCUAGCUGGUCUGAGAGGAUGAUAAGCUAAACGGGUACGUAGAGACGGACCAGACUCCUACGGAGGCAGGAGGGGGGAAUAUUGCAAUAUGGGCGCAAGCCUGAUGCAGCCAUGCCGCGUGUAUGAAGAAGGCCUUAGGGUUGUAAAGUACUGUCAGCCGGGAGGCGUUACCCGGAGAAGAAGCACCGGCUAACUCCGUGCCAGCCGCCGCGGUAAUAC